GCUCAGUGAGACCUUCGGACUGGCCCAGAGAGGUGGGCAACUACCACUCAGGGCCGGAAAGUUGUUCAAACUCGGUCAUUUAGAGGAAGUAAAAGUCGUAACAAGGUCUCCGUUGGUGAACCAGCGGAGGGAUCAUUACCGAAGUUACCCUUCUAAACCCAUUGUGAACCUUACCUCUUGCCGCGCGUUGCCUCGGCGGGGAGGCGGGGGUGGGUCGGCGCGCCCCUCUGCGGGCCGCCGUCCCCGCCCCCGUCCCCGCCGGCCGCGCCAAACUCUAAAUUUGCAAAGCGGACUGCACGUUCUGAUUUAAAACAAAAAACAAGUAAAAACUUUUAACAACGGAUCUCUUGGUUCUGGCAUCGAUGAAGAACGCAGCGAAAUGCGAUAAGUAAUGUGAAUUGCAGAAUUCAGUGAAUCAUCGAAUCUUUGAACGCACAUUGCGCCCGGCAGCAAUCUGCCGGGCAUGCCUGUCCGAGCGUCAUUUCUCCCCUCGAGCGCGGCUAGCCCUACGGGGCCUGCCGCCGCCCGGUGUUGGGGCUCUACGGGUGGGGUUCGUCCCCCCCGCAGUCCCCGAAAUGUAGUGGCGGUCCAGCCGCGGCGCCCCCUGCGUAGUAGAUCCUACAUCUCGCAUCGGGUCCCGGCGAAGGCCAGCCGUCGAACCUUCUUACUCAUGGUUUGACCUCGGAUCAGGUAGGGUUACCCGCUGAACUUAAGCAUAUCAAUAAGCGGAGGAAAAGAAACCAACAGGGAUUGCCCCAGUAACGGCGAGUGAAGCGGCAACAGCUCAAAUUUGAAAUCUGGUCCCCUUUGGGGGCCCGAGUUGUAAUUUGAAGAGGAUGCUUUUGGCGAGGCGCCGUCCGAGUUCCCUGGAACGGGACGCCGCAGAGGGUGAGAGCCCCGUACGGUCGGACGCCGAG
rnacentral:misc_RNA from 1 species